rnacentral:rRNA from 1 species
AUGAACGCUGGCGACAUGGAUAAGGCAUGCAAGUCGAGUGGGUUUAGACCCACGGCGAACGAGGUAGUAACACGUAGGUACGUACCCCAAAGUCGAGCAUAACUAGCCGAAAGGUUAGACAAUUCUCGAUAGUAUCCUUAAGCGAAAGCCUAAGGAUUAAAGAUUUAUCGCUUUGGGAGCGGCCUGCGGAAUAUCAGCUAGUUGGUAAGGUAAUGGCUUACCAAGGCUAUGACGUUUAGGGGAGCUGAGAGGCUGACCCCCACCGAUGGUACUGAGACACGGACCAUACACCUACGGGUGGCUGCAGUCGAGAAUCUUCCGCAAUGGACGAAAGUCUGACGGAGCGAUGUCGCGUGAUGGAUGAAGUUCUUAGGAACGUAAACAUCUUUUAUCGGGGAGAAAAUUUUGAUAGUACCCGAUGAAUAAGGGGUUGCUAAACUCGU